CGUGUAGGCGGUUGGUCAAGUCGGGUGUGAAAGCCCGGGGCUCAGCCCCGGAAGUGCAUCCGAAACUAGCCAGCUAGAGCGCGAUAGAGGAGGGUGGAAUUCCUGGUGUAGCGGUGAAAUGCGUAGAUAUCAGGAGGAACACCGGCGGCGAAGGCGGCCCUCUGGAUCGUUGCUGACGCUGAGACGCGAAAGCGUGGGGAGCAAACAGGAUUAGAUACCCUGGUAGUCCACGCCUUAAACGAUGGGUACUAGGUGUUCGGGGUGUUGACCCCCUGAGUGCCGCAGUUAACGCAUUAAGUACCCCGCCUGGGGACUACGGCCGCAAGGUUAAA
rnacentral:rRNA from 1 species